GAGGGUAUAACUCAAAGUGGUAGAGCACAUGCUUAGCAUGCACGAGGUCCUGGGUUCAAACCGCAGUACCUCCU
rnacentral:tRNA from 1 species